rnacentral:rRNA from 1 species
ACUCAAAUGAAUAGACGGGGAGCCGCACAAGCGGUGGAUUAUGUUCUUUAAUUCGAUGCUAAACGAAGAACCUUACCAGGGUUUGACAUCCCGAGAAUUUUGCCGAAAGGCGAGAGUGCUUUAUUGAACUCGGUGACAGAUGUUGCAUGGCCGUCGUCAGCUCGUGUCGUGAGAUGUUUGGUUAAGUCCAUCAACGAGCGCAACCCUUGUGAUUAGUUGUAUUUUUCUAAUCAGACUGCCCCGGCAACGGGGAGGAAGGAGGGGAUGAUGUCAGGUCAGUAUUACUCUUACAUCCUGGGCUAGAAACGUAAUACAAUGGCUGGUACAAUGCGCAGCGAAGCCGCGAGGUGAAGCAAAUCGCACCAAAACCAGUCCCAGUUCGGAUUGGAGGCUGAAACUCGCCUCCAUGAAGUUGGAAUCGCUAGUAAUCGCAGGUCAGCAAACUGCGGUGAAUACGUUCCCGGCUCUUGUACACACCGCCCGU